CGAAAGACACACCCCCGAAGAUUAGUAUAAAUAUUGUAGGCAAACUUAGUUUCGUCAGUGUUUGCUACUGACAAGCUAUCACAACAACUAUUCAAAAUGUUCAAACUUUUCGUCUUCUUGGCUGCCCUCUUGGCUUUCGCCUUGGCUUCUCCUAAACCUGUUCCACAGUACGUUCUUGGAGGUUUGGGAUAUGGUACCUAUGGAGCCUAUUCCCCUUACAGCUACGGAUUGGGCUACGGUUAUGGCGGAUACGUUUUUUAAAAAAUAAAUGUGAUUUGAUUUUAGUCAAAAGUUCGACCAUCUGACUCUUCUUUGUAAUUUGUUUUGGUUUGAAUAAAAUUUCUUAGGUUAAAAA